UUAAAUUGAAGAGUUUGAUCAUGGCUCAGAUUGAACGCUGGCGGCAGGCCUAACACAUGCAAGUCGAACGGUAACAGGAAGCAGCUUGCUGCUUCGCUGACGAGUGGCGGACGGGUGAGUAAUGUCUGGGAAACUGCCUGAUGGAGGGGGAUAACUACUGGAAACGGUAGCUAAUACCGCAUAACGUCGCAAGACCAAAGAGGGGGA
rnacentral:rRNA from 1 species